GGGAGGGGCCGAGGCAGCGGCUCGGCUCUGGGAGCUGCAUGGAGGAGGGGAGUUUCGCUGAGUCCCCUGCCCGGACGGGAGGAGGAGGAAGUUUGGAGAUUAAGUCGCUGCUCGCAGCCGGAGCGCACGGAGAGAGACGGGCGGCGACUGCGGAGAGCUGCGAGGGAGGGAUUCUGAGGAGAAGCCCCCUCCGGUGCGCGCCUCUGCGCCUGGAUUGUAACCGAGAGGAAGAGCGGGGCUGCCGGUGACAUACAUUGAAGAGAAGAGAGGAAAAGUGACUCCACUUUGCUUAACUUGACAGUGAUUUCUUUGGUGAGUGCUCUACCAGGUACAUUUUAUUAUCUUUUUUAUGUUUUAUAAUGUUUAUUCUUCUGGGUGAGCUAAAUAUCGUUGGCAUUCAGUGAAAAUGCUCCAAAUAAACCAUGAGACUGCUUGAUAUGCAAAUCCCAGGUAAUGCCAUAACGGCCAGAGAUACUAGCCAAGAUGGUGGGGUUUUUUGAUGUGCCUGCACGUUUGGAUAAUAUAAAAAUUUGGAGGCAUCCAAGCAGUUAAGACAGUCUAAGUUUGCAGUUUUAGUAUCUAUUUCUGAAACUAAUUAUUUUAUUUUACUUUUGCUAAAAUUCUGUAGCUGAAGUUCUGUUUAGUUGCUUUAUUCUGCCUUUUGGAGGUAGAAGUGGUGUUUUUAUGGAGAAGGAACAGUCCUAUAAUUAAGCAGAGUAUAAGUUUCAGAAGAUCAGGUACUUCUGUCUUCUGCAGAUUUCCCAUACUGCUUCUGUCAUUUUGAGAAGAAAUUAAACAUUCUUUCCAAGUUUAUUUUUAGAAGGUGGUUGUUGUUGUUAUUUUUGUUAUUUUUGUUCUUUUCUAUGGACUCUUACUACCUCAACUUCCUGGGGGACCUGAGGAACUUGAGAGAAUACAUUAAAGCAAGUGUAGAUGUCAGUGAAAUAUCUCUUGAUUGAAGUAGCUGAUUAUAUUCAUUUUGCUAUCUAAACACCGCUGUCGUUCCAGAGAUCUUCACAGUAGGGCUAGUUUGAGACUGCAGUAAAUGUUAAGAUGGCUUUAGGCAAGAAGGUCCCUUCUCCCUCAUUUUUCCUCUUUUCUUACCAAACAUCUCAGUCCCGAUGCCAACCCAAAGGAAUCUUUUCUUCUCUCAGAAGAAAGCAGGCAUUCAGUGAUGGGCUUUCAGGGUAACUGCACAAACACUGCUAUUUGGAAAAAAACUCUGUGGUUUAUAAAUAACCUAUUUUGCUCCUUCUAGAUGAGGAAACUAAUGCUGAAGUCAGUAUAGUAUGGAUCAGUUAAAGAAAAGAACUAAAUUAUGUUAAUUGCCACUGGCAACAGAGGGAAUAUUUAUGUACUGUAGUAAGAAACUAAACAAAUAAGUAUCAUAAUAGUAGGGCUGUUAAUUAAUUUUUAUAGUAUCUAUAGAUGAUCUAGUUGUGAUCAAAUGUUUACACAGUUUCAGAAGUGUGGCAAUUUUGUCCCUUGCAAUAUUUUGAGGCUGCAUAGUUUUAAUGGAUUGACACUAGCAUGAUUGCUUAGCAUCCAGCUGAAGCUUACAUCUGUUAAACAUUAGUGAGAUCUUUCCUUUGGAUCCAACGGAUAACUGUGUCUGUAAGUAGGAAACCAUUUUGCAGAGGAUGAGAGAGGAAAGACCAGAGAUUCUUGGUAUUUUAUAAAAAUAGCAAUUUGAAUAAGGCUGUACGUUUUAACAUAAACAAACAAAAAAUGGGGUUGACCUAAAUUCAGUAUGCUAGUUGCCUGUCUUAUUUGCUGAUUAGUUAAUUGCCAGCAUUUUUUUUUUUCCUUCCACAAAUGUGGAGGGGCAGAGCGUUCCCAGGCCCCACACAGCACGUUGUUUUAUUUAGCUGAAAUUUAUGCAUAUUAAAAUGCACAUUAAGUAUUGAUCUCAUGACCUUAGGAAGUGAAUUGCUUGCACAAAUUCCUUCCCCCCCCUCCCCUUCUCAAAUUCUGUUUCAUUUCAUGCAUUGCUUAGCCUUUAUUUCUGAGUUGUAGUGAUUUUAAUCUGUUUUUAUAAUGAACAGAAAAGUUAAAUGAGACUGAAGACUCAAAUGAAUUAUCUUCUGAGAGCUAAGAAUACAUGGCUCGUACACGUGUCCUAAGAAGAAGAGGAUUUCCUAAAAUUCUUUGGGAUCCUUGGCAGACAGGAACACAGUUUACAGUGUUUCAGAAUUUUGUUGAAUCAACAAAACUGGAGUGUGUGGGAAUGUUUCAACUGAAGGGAUGAGCGGUUCAAGGACUAAAUGAAGAAUAUUUAGCAAGGAAUUAAUAUUCUUUCAUUUUCCCACGAAAUUAAAAUAUGAUGAGUAGUGCUCUGCAAAAGGAAAAGCUUAAUGAUUUGGACAGAUACAGCUUUUAGAGCCAAACGUUAACUCUGUACCAAGUAGCCACCAGCAAUUUUGUCAAGUUCUCUUCAAUGUCCAAAACUAAAUAUAGAGGUUUUAAGAAUAUUUAAUCCUGAAUUUUUUUUAGAGGGAGUGGGGCAGGCAGUUUAUGAAAUUUGUUUGUGUUGAUAUUAUCAGUUUGAAUUGCAAACAGUAUUGUGUGCUUUUAGUGGUUUCAAUAAGUUGCUGUUUAGAAUACACUGAUCUUUGGAAAGAAUUAAUAUGGACUUGAGCAAUCAAAAUCAUGACAUCUAGUGUAGUGAAGGAAAAAAUAACGCAUCCAUAUACUCGUUCAGAAUGAGUUUUAAAACACUGCAUUUAUGUUGUAGGCCAGUACAAAUUUGAAAUACAAAAAUUCAUUGAUUUGUGCAUCUCUGUUUACUUUGUUUAGGCCAGGUGUGAGGACUUGCAUACUACAUGGGGUGGAAGGAAUGAUGCUUGCCCACAUAUAAGCUUGUCUCUAAGUCUGGUCUAUUUUUGGUACGCAAUGGUGAAAAGGUGCAGUGCAGAAAUGGAGGCUUAGUUGUGGUGAGAAGGCCUGUUAAAGUUUCUUAUUGCAGAAAAUGCCUGGCAGGUUAUUAGUGCAGUUGCAUGAGUAUCCAUGGGAAUAUUCAGGGCUUAAUACAGAAUACUGGAUUAGAGUCUAAUACUUUAAUUAAAGCUAGCACUUUUUAAUAAGUUUUCCCCAAACCCUUUGCUGCUGAUUGCAGUCAGGCUGAUAUAGACCUAAUGUGAAAUGCAUCUUUAAGGUUGCUUGCUGUUGGCAAUUUUAUGAAACCUCUAAUUCUAUUUCACAACUUACAGGACAGCCGACUAGUGACUGUGAAAUUUAACAGAAGCCUGCACAGAUCUGACUGGAUUUCUCAAGAUAUUAAUCCAAAUAACUUAUGCCUAUGACCUGUUGAAAGUCGAAACCCUUAAUGCAUAUAAACUAAGUUUUGUAAAAAUUGCAUUUAGGAAAAAAAGGCUUUAAUUGAUUAAGCAUCUUUUGCAGAUGCUGCCUUAUUUUCUUACCAGUUCAUAUGCUUCAUGUUUUCAGCUGCUAAAAAGAUGAUGUGAAAAGAAUUGCCUGGACAAAUUCAGGAAUAAUAUAAUAAGGAUUUUGUAUAUUCUGUGGUCAAAGGAUUCUUUUCAAAUUUUUUGAUCUUAAGAUGUUGAACAAAAAUUCUUAUCUCUGCCUUUAUUUAAAAGCCAACCCAAAUACAAGCUUGCUGGCCCCUACUUUCCCCUAUGCUCCCUCAAAGCAGUCAGUCCUUUCCAGCCACCAUCUCCUAUUAUUGUGGUCAGAUGAUCAAGGAAAAGUAUAUGCUUCCUUUUGUGUCCAGUAGAUAGGAGUUCUUAACUGAUGACUGCUGCUUUCUUUCUGACACAAAGGAAAUGAAUGGGCAGCAGUGAUUAUAGCACAUCUGUUGUUUUCUGUUGAGCAUCCUGUACAGCAGUGAAACUGACUUGAAGACGACUUUUUUUUCCUGUUCAGGACUAGUUAAUAGCGGGGAUAUGGGUGACAUGUGACAGCAUUGUUCCUUUGUCACAGGUGUAGCCAGCGCAGAAAAACAAAUAAGUUGGGACAGAAUGACUUGUUUAUGUUUUACAGAUAAGUACGUCUUACAAAAAAACCCAGUUAUUAUGUAAGAUUUGGGGAUGUACUGCGCUUUGGUUCCCCUGGGUAGGUAAUGAGUUCUAUCUUCAUGGUGUAGUCCCUGUGUGGUAGGCACUUAAAAUGGUUCUUAUAUCGUAAAGAAGCAAAUGGAAGUGGGAUGGUCUCAGUGCAGCUCCUGAUGCUCUCUGUGCAAAUCCUCUGAUUGUGUCUGCAGGAGACUGUUUUGCUCUCUCUCUUCUCACAAAGUGUGUGAGAAAGACUGAAAGAGCUCUGUAAAUCAGUCCUUACCAUCAAGGUUUGUUUUCCUUUGUUCCUACCUUUUGCUUUUUAUUCUGCUUAAUUGCAGCAUAUCUUGUAAGCAAGAUGCUAGUACUCUGUUUUUGCACAGGCUAAAUAUUCUGGUACUUAAACAGUCAGUAUUUAUGGUGACUUUGGAUGGAGCUGUUUAACUGGAACUAGUGUGCUGGGUAGUGCUGCCCUCUUUGCUGUUUCUGCUGUAUGCCUGCUAAAAUUGCCUUUUUUUUUGCUUUCCCCCUCAGUGUGUAUGUGUAUCUUUUUUUUUUUUUUUUCCAUCCCAUUUCACUUGACAAGUUUAUUACAGUGUAGGUUAGCAAUGUGGUGUGUGGGCAGGAGGGAUGCUACUAUUUUAGGAAAAUCUUUUCCAUCUGCUAUGUAGUCUGAAGGGGAGUUUAAGUCCUAGCUAUAGUACAAAUAAUGUUCAAAAUAGCAUUUCCCGGACAGCUUAUGGAAGGCAAUUCUGGAGGAUUUCCACAUUCAAAUAACUGAAAGAUAUCACCUGGAAUGUUUACAGUUUUCUAGAGCUGGAGAGUAAAACUGGCCAUGGAAAGAGCACUCAACACUGUGAGGAUGCUCCAGAGCAGCAGCCAUUGAAGAAAAACUUUCCUGAAAGAGGCUUUUCUUUUCUUUCUUUUUAAACCUGACUUCUCUUCGAGGCCUGCAGUGAUGGCAGAUAUCCAGUCGUGUGGUACCAAAACUGUAGUUUUAAAAUUAGAAUGAGAGGAUGACUCUUAGCUAUAUUGUGCUGAACAUCUCCCAGAGAGCAACCAGUUUUGCUGCUUUACAAGUGCAGAGUUAAUCCUGGGGGGAGGUUGCUCUGCAGACAAUAUUUCUAAAAUGUUUGAAAACAGCAGUAGCUAAUUACCUUCUGGAAGACAGAUAAACAUUUGUUGGGCAAAGUCUGAAUUAUGGUGUUUGUAGACUUAUGCCUUUGGUGAAAAUAAAUCUACGAGUACUGUAGGACAAGUUUUCAGGUAAGAGUUUUCUCUUCUGCUACCUAUUUCAUCUUUCUCAGUUUUGCUUGCUUACCCCUGUUUGCUGUGGAAUCUAAAAGCAGAGAAGCAGAGCAUAUUUUAUUAGAAAUUACCAGGGUUUUUUUUAAUGCUGUUUUAUAAAAAUAAAUAUAACUUUUUUUUUUUUUUUUUUGUAAUUUUUGUCAGGGACCAACCACGUAAAUGUUGCAAAGUACAGAAAGCACUUAGUGACUGAGUAAUGUAAAAUCAGAAGCUUACUGUGGUAUGUCAUCUAAUCUCUAAGGUAGUUGUGAUUUCCAAGAAUUAAGUAGCAAAGAAAACAACCAUAGCAUUAUCUCAUUAUUUUAUGCCAAAAUUUCUGAGGAGGAUUUUUCUGAACUUGAUCACUGGGUGCAGCACAGCUGACUUAUCAGUUGCUUUGGCCACUGCAGCUUGUUCGUAUAUCUUACAAAUUCUUAGUGAUGUAACAAAUUACUUUACUUCACUACCUGAGUGGCAAAUAUUAGCUGCUGAGGAACUGUUAUGGUCACUGUAGUAAUUGCAUAGCUGUAUAAGAAUCAAAACCACAAAACUUGAGGCAUGCUGUCCGGGAGACAUCUAUGCCCUAUGGCUCAUGUAGCUCCAGAGUGUGGUAUCUUUAUUUUCCCAGGCAUUUCCAAACACUUUGCUGUGGUGACAGAGAGAACAGCCUUUUCUCUUGGUAGCUUCUGGGCCUCUUCCCAGCAAGGUGAGGGUGCUCAUGCAGUUACAACUUGAGAAAAAACCUACUGCAAGUCAACACCGAGCUGUGUGCCCACCAGCCCAUGGGUGCUGUUGUGGUAGGUGGGGCUGGGUGUAUGUGUUCAGGGAGACAAACCUGGGUUAAACCAAGGUUUAAUGUGGAUUUAAAGUAGCUGUGGAGCAGUGUACUGAGUCUGAACUGGUUUGAAUAUUAAGAACCUGAAUAUGUUUUCCUCACUGUCUGUGAUAUCCUCAUGCUAGCAUUGACUUCUCUUGUAAGGAUUUUGACUGACAUAUGAAACAAGUAAAUAUUUUAUUAUCAUAGAAUCAUAGAAUCGCUAAGGUUGGAAAAGACCCACAGGAUCAUCCAGUCCAACCAUCCGCCCUUCAUCAAUGGUUCUCGCUAAACCAUGUCCCUCAACACAACAUCCAAACGCUCUUUAAACACUACCAGGCUCGGUGACUCCACUACCUCUCUGGGCAGCCCAUUCCAGUGCCUGACCACCCUUUCAGAGAAGUAGUAUUUCCUAACGUCCAGCCUGAACCUUCCCUGACGCAGCUUGAAGCCAUUCCCUCUCGUUCGUUAUGGCCUGUACAAUUUCUGUGCCUUUAAAGUAGAGGGAAAAAAAAAAGGCAGCAGAUGGGAAAUGCAUUGUGAUCGUUCCCUUCAUACAUUAAUCUCCUGAAUGACAAGUAAAUAUUUGCAGAAGUAUGCUACCUGUGUAUGAUGUGUUUUUCACUAAUAAAUAUACUUAGAUCAUGUUUGCUAGCAAGGUCAAGAUACCUUGUGUAUUUCUCAACCAAGUUUAGAAGUUUGAGAAUGGUCUAGAUAGUACAUGUCCAGUUAUUAUAAUCUUGGAUAGCUUUUCAGAUUCAUCUGUUUUUAAGUUGUGGUGCUUUCCACUACACUAAAUUCUUGCUAACCUUUGAUAUCACCUCCUGGAGGAUGGGAAGGAGAACAUUCAAAAGAAGAGUCUUAGAACAUCCCUUUUCUCCAACUGGCAUGAAAGGUAAACUGCCUUGUUAAUCUUGUUUGGGUUCAAAAGGUGGAAGCAGGGGAAAAAAUAUAGAUUAUUUCACAGCAUUCACAAAAUACAAAUGUUAAUAGCAAAGUAUCAAAUAUUUAGGAGUGUUUCAAAUUUGAUACAACCUGCAUAAUAAAUACCAGGCUUAAAAAUACUUGUGGUUCUUGCUGAGCAACCUUUAUUUUAUUACAUGAUUUAUUUCUAAUAUAUUCUACUAUUUUGAUAAUGCUUAAUUAUAUUGGGCAUUAAAUAUGAGGGAUUUUGCUUUGUAUUCAUAGUUUGUAUACUAAAUUACAUAUUAAGAUUUUUUUCAUCCUUCUUAGACAUCAUCCAGUUUUUGCAGAUUGAUAGUAUUCCUUCAUGCAGCAGCUUAGUUUUUGCUAGAUUAAUUUCACCCCUUCCGUUAUUUCCAUUUUAAAUCAACACUAGAUAUUUGGUUCACUCUUGUGAUCUGGAGAGUUGAGAUUGUCAGCUACUUUCAUGCAGCUGGAGAAAAUCUAUUUGUUCAUUUCUUAACCUUUUGACACAUCUGUUUUUACAACUCUGGUUGUUUUUGCUGGGGAGUUGAAGUGCAGAGUAACCACUGCAGAAGGAAACAUCUUUUGUUAUGAUCAGUGUGUAAACUGAGCCUAAUGCAACUGGGGGUUAACAUGUGUAUGGAAAAGAUCUUUACAUACACAUGAAAACCCCCAAAGAAAGUACUUCCUUCAUGUGUCUGUUUGCUGAAUUUUUAUUUGUUGAAUAAAAAGUGAAUUUUUUAGAAGCUUUAUUCUUGUAUACUGGAUAUGCGACCUUAAAAAUUAGCUUGGAAUUAUUUAAACUACUGAUUCUUUGCUAUAAGGCUCAACAUUUCUGUUACUUUACAAUAAAGACUCAACUAAGUUAAGACUAUUCUUCCUUCUGUUCAUGGCUACAAGUCAGGCAAGUCUGAGGAGUAAAGACAACAGAUUUUCAUGUAAAGAUAUUAAAAUACCCUUACCAUAUACAUAAUAAACAAAUUCAGAAGUUAGAAAUAUUCAUAGAGGAAUCAGUUUGAAGGUUCUAUGUGCUGUUUUCUGAUGCUAUGCUGUCUUUAACCCUGAGCUCAAGAGUCCUAAAUCACUGGUGCAUGUAGUUGGUAAAGAAAGAAGAAAUUUAUCUAUCUUUUGUAUCAGGGUAUUAUAUUCACUAAGUCUUUAGGCUUCAGCAACUUCACGCCAAUCCUGCUUCUAUUGCACUUGAGAAGCAUAAAGCUAUAGCAAAAUGGCUUGAGCUUUUCAAUAUCUUUCCAGCAAAAUGGAGGAUUGUAACAGCAUGGUGAGACAACAGGUUGAGGUUCUUAUUCUUCUGUCUUCCAUUGCAAAACAAACAUGUAUCAUUUGGCAGCAGAAUGCGUUAUCAAUAUUUUUUGCCCACCAGGUGUGAAGUUGAACUUUUUUUUCUUCUAUCAUAAAAAAUGAGUGUAUUGCAAUGCCAUAAAAUAUAACGCUGAUUACACAUCAUAUAAGCUAACUAAGUUUAGGAGCAGAUAAGGUCUAUCUGCUGGGGCAAAAGUGUCCAAAUUGACAUAAUCCUGUUCCUGACUGUGGGUUUGCUGUUGGGUGACUGGAUGGCUGUGCUGAAGGAGAGCCACUCUUGUGCUAGAUCUAGAGUGCAAGUAGAAGCUGCAGCAUUACUUCUGGACUGCUGUAACAGACUUCAUGAGGCAGAAGGUUGAGCAUUGCCUUGUGUGCGAAUUCAUUUGUUAUGUAAAGUAGAAAGCCUUGUAGCAACAGUGGAAGGGGAAAGAAGAACCUCAUACAGUGGAGCUUUCUUUUGUGGUAUCAGAGGGGACCAUAGCCUCUUUAGGCUUCUGUCUAAUGAGGCUUAUGGAUAGUGGUGUUCCUGAAAACAUAUGUGAAAAGCUAUGUCAGAGAGAAGUUAAGUAUACAAUACGUUCUUCCUGGAGUAACUAUUUAAUUUGUUUCUUUGUAGUCUACUGAAGUCAGUGUGUUGCACUUGUUUUCACUAGCUAAAUAUAUAGCUGUUCUUUAAAGCUACCAUGCUCCAUCAGCUUCCCCUUGCCUGAAGUCCUGAGUGCUUUGCAUUGACAAGGGGCAUGAAAUUUGGCAGCUUUAAGCAUAGACCAAUUCUGGAAAUAUGACCCUGAAUACCUUGAUGAGAUGUAGAAGCCUACCUAAGAGCACAGUCAAAGUUACCAGGCUAACUGCAGUGCUAAGAUUUUGUUACACAUAACCUCUGCCUUCACUGUGAUGCUUUAUUCCUAUUUCUAGAAAUUAUAUUAAAUGAUUCCAUGCAAUAAGUAUCAGUUUUCCAUUCAAAAAUGCAUGUAACCAAGCUGUGAUAUCAGAUAGUCUGGAAAAGCACUCUUGCAUCAGUGCAUGGGUUCUGAUGAUGGAAAAGAGUAAAUCAUUCACAUUAAGACUUCAAGAAAUAAACGUGUAGAGGAAAUGUGCCAAAUCCAUCCAAUUUUUAUGUUGAGUUAGAAUAGAAUUCCUUUUUCAGGAAUCGUUUAUUUGAUUUUAAACCUUUUGAUAUAAACAGUAACAGGAUAUCAAGUGAACUUUUUGAUGGCCAAGCACCACAUGAUUGAUACAUUAAAUCCCAGAGACAAAGAGCAGUUUAGUGAGUAAAUAAUAAUUCUCCUGAACUACUGAUAUCUAGUUAGUAAUGGGAGGCAUGACUUAUUUAAUAUUUGUGGGGUGGUAUUUCCAGUUUCUGAUGAAAUACAAGAAAUGUUUCCUUUAAACUCAUAUGGGAAAAAUCCAUGGCUGAGCACUUUGGAAAUCUGAAAACCCCAGUGUGCAGCAUGCAUGUCUGUUUCAUUCCACUCUGGCAACUCCAAAGAUUUAUAUUUUCUAAAAAUGAAUCUACUUCAGAUGAGGAUGUGGAGUUGCCUAGUGAAUCACCUUUACUUAAACUAACACUGUAAGCUAUCACUUUCCACGCCCAGUCUGUAAUGUGGGAUCGAUGGAAGGGGCAAGUGGGAAUAUUAAAGAUUCUUAACUACACCACUAUAUAUAGAGUAAUAUUAGUCUCAAGGCAGAACUGCCAGUAUCAGUGAUACAUUCCUAUACCAACUAUGUUAAUUUCCGAAGAGGAAAGUAAACAUAAAAAAGAAAGGAAUGUCAAUACUAGGGAAAGAUGGUGGGCCCCAGUCUAACACAUUCAUUCAGUGCAUACUCCAUAAUUGUUUUCCUCUUCGCUAAUAUUGAUUAUUGAGUCCUUUAUCUUAAAUAUGCUUCUUGCCAUCUCUAGAUGUGAGAGACAAAGUGCUGACAUGGUGAGACUUGAAAUUUGAAAUACCCUUCUCAGAGUAUAGAGAAGCUGAUAACAAAUAAAAUCCUGGUAAGAACUCUGGCAAAUCCCAAUUAUAUUUGCCUUGCUUUCAUCCCUAGAUAUGUCAUGCUGGCAUGUGAAUGCUAAGAAAAUCAAUAUAAAAGAAAACCACAACUCAAAAUCCUGUAAAUUGACAAUGAUGACAGGUUAAGAGAACAAAGUGGAUAGGACUUACAGAUGUUUUCAUCCUCACGUGUUCUUGCUGGUGUAGUAUUCUUCUAAGACAGUUAUUAGCAGAUGCAAAAAUAUCAACCAUAGAUUGUCCGAAGCAUCAGGAGUUUCUCCUGAGUGUUCUCCUAAUACAGAAAAGCCCUUCUUCCCUACACGUGGAUAAGUUACAAAGAAAACAGAUAUAUCAAAAUAAGCAUACAUUUAAUGUUGUGGUUAAAUUAAGUUAGAAUUUUUACACCCUUCUGGUAAACAGAAUGCCAUACUUUUAGGAGUACAGUUUGUGUCAGUGUCUUUCCUCAAGUCCUAAAAAUGGGUUUAUGUUGUUGUACCUUGAAAGGCAAAGGGGAAUAUUGAAGUCCCUUCUUGGUAUUUGCAGUGGAACUGUGCUGUGCUUGUUGAGAAAUGCUUUUUUGCAGCUGUGACUCAGUGUCUCUCAAAUUCUGCCAUUGAGAUCUCUUACCAGUGGAGACCCAUUGACACCUUCCCUUCCAUUUGUCAGCAUACAUAUGAAUGUCAUGGUUAAGCCAUGGGCCUCUUCCAAUUUUUUCAUGUUGCAUUUAUUUGAGCUGCAGUCAGUUGUAACAGAUGCCCUACAAAAGGCAGCAGUGUGGCCACAGUGGAUUUGACCCUUCUCAUUACAUGAUACUCAGGCCUUCAGCACUAGAAACCUUUGACACCGUUUUCAAAGAAUUCCGCUCUGAUUUCAUUGGAGGGGAAUGUUUCUCCCAGAUUGUUUUUAUAACCUUCAAAAUAUUUUGCAAUAAAUUUAUAACUGGCAGGGUGUGUGCAUAGUUUAAAAGUUUAAAAUGUUUCAAUUCUUUUGGUUUAAAUUAAGGAGAACUUGUAUUCAUUGAAAAAAUCAAUGGAGUGGAUAUUUUAAUAUCUUUUGGUGCUCUGUAAAGUGAUGCUGAUCAGUUGCUAAAGGGGCCUGGUUUACUCUCCUCGUAUUACUUGCCUUGGAGAAGAAUAUCACCAUUCCUACUACUUACAGGAUGUGAGAUAAAUGCUUUUGAUUGCAGAAGUAAGUAUAGCUGAUAUCAUCUGUGGCUCUUUAUAGAAAUCGUAAAAUAAGAAAAAUGGCAUGGAGGAGAACCACUGUCUUUUCUCACUGAGUUAGAUCAGGCUGCUCAGGGCCCCAUCCAACGUGGCCUUGAAUGCCUCUGGGCAUGGGACAUCCACAGCACCCUCUGAGUGAAGAAUGUCUCCCUAACAUCUACCUCAUAUCUCCUAUCUUAAUUUAAAACUGUUCCUACUUGUUCUAUCACUGUCUCCCUGCACAAAAGAUAUUAAUGAAGAGUUAUGGUUGGUCAUCUGUUUACGUUCUGCUGCUGAUCAAAAUUACACAAACUUUACAAUUCUAUUGCCAAAAUCUUUGUUAAUGAAACAUUUUAAUUGCUAGAUAAUUUCCGAAUACCUGUAAAACUGAGAUGUUUCUUACUAAAAUCCUGCCUACGUAAGGAAUGUAUCAUGCAAAAGGAGAAUAGUAGGAAAAUGCCUAGCUACACUUCUUUUAACCUGUGCCUCUUUGUAAUAAAAUAAUGGUAGUCAGGGUUUCCAAAGAGAUGGGGAUUUGAAAAGUGAGCAUGCCAGCUAAUAGCUGUGGUAACAGGCUGAACGUAGCAGAAUAAUAGCCAUGCAGUGGCCUCUCAGCCUUUCAGCAUGCCCCAGUUCUCAAUAGUGAAUGCACAGCUUUGUUCGGCAGCCGGUCAUCUCCUCAGCUUGACUGGAAGAGCUUGGAGCUCGGCAUCUCCUCUGCCCCCACUGCCUCACCAGCCCUGUGCUACUGGGCCUUACAGGAGGUAGUUCAUGGAGGAUUUACAGCCUAACCUUUUUAUUGUGCUCACAGGAGGAAAACAAAUGUUUUAUUGUGUGAGUUUUUUUAGAAGAUAAACAGGGAUUGGGAUGAGAAUGGCUCCUAAACAGUAGGCUGGGCCCUGAAUUAUCUGGUAGGUUCCCACAUGUAAGGGAUAUGGAGCUGAGAAGCCUGUGAUGCUCUCUGUAGAAACAAGAGCAACAAAAGGAAUUGUUUUCUGGCAUGGUUUGUCAGAAAAUCUUACAGUCCCAACACAGAGGAAACACAUGCUCUGCCUCCUGCCUUCAGUGAUUUCAGGUCAUGGUAUUAGCCUUCCUGGCCCCAUUUCUAUAUGCACUUUGGGUUUUGAGAUUUUGUCAUGGAGCGUAACUCUAAUAUUUAAAUAAAGAGGGAUUUGCUACUUGUUUCUUGUGGAAAACAAGCAACAAGAAUAAUGGUGGGAGUGAAUGGCCCUAUGGAAGAAAGAUAGAGUGUGAAGGAGAAACCUGAGAAGAACAACUCUGGUUUGAGUUCGAGUAGAGGGUUUGUUUCUCCGUUCUCUGUGGUUUGAAUGCUGAGAAGGCAAAUACGAAUUGUGCACUGAGCACUGUUGGCUGUUCAGCCCACAUGGAUGCACUUGGAUGCUGGUUAGAGUUACAUGCUAUCUGAAAGCUAGCCAUUGUGAAAGUGUUUGAGGCUGCAAGAGCGAGGUGAUGGUGGUACUGACUGUUGCUGUGAAAGUGAGGAAAGCAGAAUGAUGGUGACAGUUAUGUGAUGUCUUUUCAUGAAUGUUUUUAUUUUUCUUAUCUUGCUGCAAGAUAUAUAUACUUUUUGCCAUAUACUUUUGAGAUUCCAUGCCCCCUCUCUUAUUUGGAUUUGUCAGGGUUCCUUCUAUUGGGUUGACAACAAACUGCAUCAAAGGUUUAAGAGAAAUCAAAUGUUUAGUGGAAAUCUGAAGACCCUUUUCACUGGCUUUCCUUGUAGGAUGUUAUGUGCAUGUAAAGAUCAACUGAAACAUCUCUGAAUGUGGAUGUUAGAGAAUUCAAUUUAGAAGUCCAUGGGCUCAUAUAUCUGUAGCUGUUAGUAAAGAAUUCUUGUGGACUGUCAAUAUAUGUUAAUUUUAAUUAAAGUCUGACUGUCUUUCUGUUUAAAUUAAGGAUAUUAUUGUUCUAGCAAGAGGAAAGUGCAGAGAAAAUCAUAUAACUCAAUGAGUAGGUCACUGUGAAUUUCACACCAAAUAUUCACAGCAGCCAAAUCCAAGCCUCUACUCUGUUUGUUUCUUGCCCUGUAGCUUCUGAAGUGUGUGACUCUUGGCAAUGCUCAUCUUGGCUACUGAUGUGGUGGUGAGUGUUGCAGGAUUAACGCCAUCUGUAUGUGAGUGUAGUGGCUAUGCUACACUGCACACUGACACUGCAGUGAUCCACUAUCAUCUCAAUCCUUUAUUUGCUUCUUGGAUAUAGAAGUCCUAAUGAAAGUAUUUCUUCAGUGUUCUUGAUGGCCUCUUUUCAUGAAAAAGCUAAAAAGCAGCACACACUGCAAUAUUACCUUAAAGCAGCAUUGAAAGCAUUGAUAAGCCAUUUCUUCAUCAAAAACACAGCUCUGCUGGAGUGUCUUUCACACCUUACCCUAAAGUUUAUUGAGAGUAUGGUAGGGGAGGAACAAAACAAGGUAAACAACCCGUCAAGAUGUAAAAGGAUCAUCAGUAGAAGAUAAAAAUAGAAUAUUGCGUGUGACUGCGCUGUUGCAGGUCUCUUGUAUACGGCGGCAAUGAGAGAUCAUGAAUUACUGCUAUGAUGAGUUAGUUGUUGACAUUUGGCAGUCUUAGUCUUCUGGAUCUUAUUUAUGCGAAAUACCUUUCUCAGCUAUAGAAGCAGUGGAGUCAGAGGAACUGUCACACACCAGUACUUUGAUCUUGAACACCUGCUUGCAUUCUUCUUAUUUAUUUAUUUUCAUUCAAAGUGCUGUGAGAUUUCAAAUUAGACAUUACUGUAUACUGCAAAAAUCUAUUGCAGUCAUUUUUAAGUCCUGGGUACUUUUUCUGUCAUUGAGUACAUUCCUAUUGAACUGGGGUAUUGAAAGAGCUGUUAGCUUACAUUUAUAAUUCCUACUGUAUCUUUAGCAGAGUGGGCAAAAGAAAAUGAUUGCAUGAAAAGGCUAGAGCUUUUUGUUAGUUUUACUGAAGAGAGGAAACCCAGAGGAAAGAUUUUCUUCUUCUAUAAAUGCAAACAUCUGUUGGUAUGACUUUGGUGUUAUUAUUUCAGUUCUGUUUCAAAAUUCCAGUUGCUAAACUUCCUGAGGUGCAGAGGAGGUUCCAGUAAGUGUCUCCGAUUCAAAAACAAAUGGAAUAAAUCUUUCAGUUGGAUUUAAAGGAAAAGUUCAAGUAUUUAAAGUUUCUGAAAAUACACUUCUACUUAGAAUUAAGGAAACUGUCUUUUCCAAAGAACUGGCUUUUACAAUAUUUUUUUUUCUGCUAGAUAUUCUAUGAGUUAAACUGGAAGAGAUGAGGUAUUAUGAAGAUUGUUUUGUGGGCAAACAAUUAAACAUUUGGCUGUGACUAGUAAGGAUGAUUCUUAGAUGCUAUAAUCCCUUUUGCUGGGAUUGUGCAUCCCUAUGUAUGGUAGGCAAAAUGGACUUUACAUUGCCAGCUAGGAUGCAUUUAUCCUUUUUCUUCUUAAAAACAUCACAGUGUUUGUGAUAAAGCAACCAGCACACUGUACUGUAUAGGGAGUGAAUAGCCAGUGACUCCAGUGUGCUUGUGCUGCAGAAGGCUCUGAAAGGUGAACUUCAGCAGCAGCUUCUGCUCGGUUGUCUGAGGUUGGAAACUUCCAUUAGCAGCAGCAUGCUGAGCAUAGUAGGCUAACCCAAAAGGAAGCAGAAACCAGAGCUGAUGUACAAGCACCAUUAUGGUGAUGCAGUGUAGGUUGGAAAGAUAAUAGCAGUGUGCCAGCAGCAAGGCAUGAUGCUGUAUGGUGGUGAGCAGAAGGAAGAGUCUAUAUGGACUUUCAUUCAGGUCAUGGUGUGGAAUUUUGAAUAUCAAAAAGCUUAAAAAUUCUAACACCAUCACACUGAACAAUUAUUGUUUAGUCUUCUGUAAAUACCAGUGAGGGCAGAGAAGAAAGUUUUGAUUGCAUUAUCGUUCAUGAAAGAGAUAAGAACUGUGUGUUUAUUCUCACAUAGUCACUCAGAUAUACAUAUCUGUAUGGAGUUUUCAUUUAAAAUCCGAUUUACUGAUUUACUUACAUAACUGGGCCAUCAUGCUUUUUUUGUUUGUUUGUUUUUGUUUGUUUGUUUUGUUUUGUUUUUUAAGAGCAAAGAGGCAAAGCUCCAAAGUUCCCAAAGAGAUGGAAAAUAAUCCUUUUAGAUGGCCUAUAAAUGGAUCAUUGGAUCCAUAUGCUCUAUUUACGUUGCAAUACCUCAGCAGCAUGUGAUGGACUAUUCCUUUUGUUAGGUGUCUCUGCAGCACUGUGUACAGAUUAAAUAGCUACUGCAUUGCAGAGAGUUAUUAAUACAUUGCACUGCACUUUCAGUGAAGAUGUCAGUGUGUCCUUAAGCCUGACUGUAUCCCGUGAUUGCGUUAUGGUGGGUUUUUAGUUCUUUUCUUUUCUUUUCAUUUCUUU
rnacentral:lncRNA from 1 species